rnacentral:tRNA from 1 species
GGCUCUGUGGUGCAAUGGAUAGCACGUUGGACUUCUAAUUCAAAGGUUGUGGGUUCGAGUCCCACCAGAGUCA